GACCCAAUGGCAGAGUGGUCUUGCAGCUGCGUUUGUUCAGCGAACAUUUGAACACAUCAUGCAGCAGGCGCCGGUUCGACUCCGGCUUGGGUCA